CACGUGAGCAAUCUGCCCCUGACUCUGGGAUAAGCGCUGGAAACGGCGUCUAAUACCGGAUACGAGCUGCGAAGGCAUCUUCAGCAGUUGGAAAGAAUUUCGGUCAGGGAUGAGCUCGCGGCCUAUCAGCUUGUUGGUGAGGUAAUGGCUCACCAAGGCGUCGACGGGUAGCCGGCCUGAGAGGGUGACCGGCCACACUGGGACUGAGACACGGCCCAGACUCCUACGGGAGGCAGCAGUGGGGAAUAUUGCACAAUGGGCGGAAGCCUGAUGCAGCAACGCCGCGUGAGGGAUGACGGCCUUCGGGUUGUAAACCUCUUUUAGCAGGGAAGAAGCGAAAGUGACGGUACCUGCAGAAAAAGCGCCGGCUAACUACGUGCCAGCAGCCGCGGUAAUACGUAGGGCGCAAGCGUUAUCCGGAAUUAUUGGGCGUAAAGAGCUCGUAGGCGGUCUGUCGCGUCUGCUGUGAAAUCCCGAGGCUCAACCUCGGGUCUGCAGUGGGUACGGGCAGACUAGAGUGCGGUAGGGGAGAUUGGAAUUCCUGGUGUAGCGGUGGAAUGCGCAGAUAUCAGGAGGAACACCGAUGGCGAAGGCAGAUCUCUGGGCCGUAACUGACGCUGAGGAGCGAAAGGGUGGGGAGCAAACAGGCUUAGAUACCCUGGUAGUCCACCCCGUAAACGUUGGGAACUAGUUGUGGGGUCCAUUCCACGGAUUCCGUGACGCAGCUAACGCAUUAAGUUCCCCGCCUGGGGAGUACGGCCGCAAGGCUAAAACUCAAAGGAAUUGACGGGGACCCGCACAAGCGGCGGAGCAUGCGGAUUAAUUCGAUGCAACGCGAAGAACCUUACCAAGGCUUGACAUAUACGAGA
rnacentral:rRNA from 1 species